rnacentral:rRNA from 1 species
UUUAAUGAGAGUUUGAUCCUGGCUCAGAGUGAACGCUGGCGGCGUGCCUAACACAUGCAAGUCGAGCGGAGUUAUUUUUAUGAAGUUUAUAUAUAACUAAGCGGCAAACGGGUGAGUAACACGUAGAAAACCUACUUCAAAAUGGGGAAUACCUUUGAGAAAUUAAAGUUAAUACCGCAUAACACCACAAUGUGGUCAUCACAUUAUGGUUAAAGCUUUUUGCGUUUUGAAAUGGUUCUGCGUCCUAUCAGCUUGUUGGUAAGGUAACGGCUUACCAAGGCUAUAACGGGUAUCUGGCCUGAAAGGGUGAACAGACACACUGGAACUGAGACACGGUCCAGACUUCUACGGAAGGCAGCAGUGGGGAAUUUUGGACAAUGGGGGAAACCCUGAUCCAGCGACGCCGCGUGGAGGAUGAAGGCUUUCGAGUUGUAAACUCCUUUUAGAGAGGAAGACAAUGACGGUACUCUCAGAAAAAGCCACGGCUAACUACGUGCCAGCAGCCGCGGUAAUACGUAGGUGGCAAGCGUUACUCGGAAUUACUAGGCGUAAAGUGUAUGUAGGCUGUUAGAUAAGUCUUUAGUGAAAGAUUUUGGCUUAACCAGAAAUAGUCUAAGGAUACUGUUUAACUUGGAGUGUGAGAGAGGGAGAUGGAAUUCCUGGUGUAGCGGUGGAAUGUGUAGAUAUCAGGAGGAACGCCAAUGGCGAAAGCAAUUUCCUGGUUCAUUACUGACGCUGAAAUACGAAAGCUAGGGGAGCAAACAGGAUUAGAUACCCUGGUAGUCCUAGCUGUAAACGAUGUUCACUAGAUGUGGGAGGUAUCGACCCCUUCUAUAUCGUAGCUAACGCAUUAAGUGAACCGCCUGGGGAGUACGACCGCAAGGUUGAAACUCAAAGGAAUUGACGGGGGCCCGCACAAGCGGUGGAGUAUGUGGU